rnacentral:rRNA from 1 species
AUUGAACGCUGGCGGCAGGCUUAACACAUGCAAGUCGAGCGGGGUGAUGGUGCUUGCACUAUCACUUAGCGGCGGACGGGUGAGUAAUGCUUAGGAAUCUGCCUAUUAGUGGGGGACAACAUCUCGAAAGGGAUGCUAAUACCGCAUACGUCCUAUGGGAGAAAGCAGGGGAUCACUUGUGACCUUGCGCUAAUAGAUGAGCCUAAGUCGGAUUAGCUAGUUGGUGGGGUAAAGGCCUACCAAGGCGACGAUCUGUAGCGGGUCUGAGAGGAUGAUCCGCCACACUGGGACUGAGACACGGCCCAGACUCCUACGGGAGGCAGCAGUGGGGAAUAUUGGACAAUGGGGGGAACCCUGAUCCAGCCAUGCCACGUGUGUGAAGAAGGCCUUAUGGUUGUAAAGCACUUUAAGCGAGGAGGAGGCUCUUUUGGUUAAUACCCAAGAUGAGUGGACGUUACUCGCAGAAUAAGCACCGGCUAACUCUGUGCCAGCCGCCGCUGUAA